CACCCCUCUGCUUAAUCCUUACCUCUAUUGCUUCAAGGAGAGUCUGGGAGAGAGAAUCUGUUGGUAGGAGCAUGGAGCUUUUGGAGGGAGGCCUCUUGCGGAUUGAAAUCAUGAACCACGAAUAAAGACGGUGUAGAGGGGGCGUCGACUAAGGGACUGAGACCCAGGUGGAGAAGGCAGGUGCAGACAUUGGAUGGACUGUUUAGAGGGAGUUGCCAAGGACACCAAUAAAAAGAAACUAUGACACCUUCAGUUUUAUCCUAAUCUUCAGGAGUGAAAGUGUCUCAACAAAGUUAGUUUCGCUGUAAACCUGAAAACCCGAAGCUGUGUUGAUGAAACUGUCGAUUCAAACUCAUAAUAGUUGAUAUUGAACUGUUACAUAAUGGUGAAAAACCCACAAAAACGCUUUCAAAAAGACUCCCAAGUUUAGUGGUAGCCUGUUGGAUAACGAAAUAGAUUCUCCACUUUUGAA